UACGUAGGGAGCAAGCGUUGUUCGGAUUUACUGGGCGUAAAGGGCGCGUAGGCGGCAGAUCAAGUCAGUUGUGAAAUCUCUGAGCUUAACUCAGAACUGUCAACUGAUACUGCUCUGCUAGAGUGUGGUAGGGGAGACUGGAAUUCCUGGUGUAGCGGUGAAAUGCGCAGAUAUCAGGAGGAACACCGGUGGCGAAGGCGGGUCUCUGGGCCGAUACUGACGCUGAGGAGCGAAAGCGUGGGGAGCGAACAGG
rnacentral:rRNA from 1 species